GAUGAACGCUGGCGGCGUGCCUAAUACAUGCAAGUCGAGCGAACAGACGAGGAGCUUGCUCCUCUGACGUUAGCGGCGGACGGGUGAGUAACACGUGGAUAACCUACCUAUAAGACUGGGAUAACUUCGGGAAACCGGAGCUAAUACCGGAUAAUAUAUUGAACCGCAUGGUUCAAUAGUGAAAGACGGUUUUGCUGUCACUUAUAGAUGGAUCCGCGCCGCAUUAGCUAGUUGGUAAGGUAACGGCUUACCAAGGCAACGAUGCGUAGCCGACCUGAGAGGCUGAUCGGCCACACUGGAACUGAGACACGGUCCAGACUCCUACGGGAGGCAGCAGUAGGGAAUCUUCCGCAAUGGGCGAAAGCCUGACGGAGCCACGCCGCGUGAGUGAUGAAGGUCUUCGGAUCGUAAAACUCUGUUAUUAGGGAAGAACAAAUGUGUAAGUAACUAUGCACGUCUUGACGGUACCUAAUCAGAAAGCCACGGCUAACUACGUG
rnacentral:rRNA from 1 species